AUGCUCACUUCGGCAGCACAUAUACUAAAAUUGGAAUGAUACAGAGAAGAUUGGCAUGGCCCCUGUGCAAGGAUGACAUGCAAAUUCAUAAAGUGUUCCACAUUUUU
rnacentral:snRNA from 1 species